AAGAUUUUAAGUUAAUUUAAAACUAAAAGCCUUCAAAGCUUAAAAUAAAAAAAAAUUUUUAAAUCUUA
rnacentral:tRNA from 1 species